rnacentral:rRNA from 1 species
AAGAGACAGCAGUCGCCGCGGGAAUACGUAGGUGGCAAGCGUUGUCCGGAAUUAUUGGGCGUAAAGCGCGCGCAGGUGGUUUAAUAAGUCUGAUGUGAAAGCCCACGGCUCAACCGUGGAGGGUCAUUGGAAACUGUUAAACUUGAGUGCAGGAGAGAAAAGUGGAAUUUCUAGUGUAGCGGUGAAAUGCGAAGAGAUUAGGAGGAACACCAGUGGCGAAGGCGGCUUUUUGGCCUGUAACUGACACUGAGGCGCGAAAGCGUGGGGAGCAAACAGGAUUAGAGACCCCGGUAGUCCCUGUCUCUUAUAU